CCGGCAGGCAGUGUGGGCCUGAAUCUGCCCCUCUCCCAUUCAGGAAUGGCCUGCCUAGCAGGGCUGGAAAAGAUUGUGAACUUUCUCUGGGAACUGCUUGAGUUCUGGAGAUAAAUAGAGGCAAGAACAACAAAGAGGAAGACAGAGGAAAUGAAGAACAAGAGUUUAGUGCUAAGGAGGAAAAACAGAGAAAAGGCCGAGAGAGAGAGCUGGAGCUACUGCGAAGAGGCUGCUGAAUAGAAGGGCAAAAAGGGAUGCCAAGCAUACGUUUUUUCAGAACAUUGUUGAGGACAUUUCUGAGUUCAUCAGCAUUGAUCUCCAUGUCCUGUCAGGAAAAAAAGAAGAGAGAAUGUCCACACAGCUAAGCUGCAAAAGCCACUUCCUGUGCAAUGCGUGCAAGUCCAUGCAUGUGGAAGAAGAUGUGGUGAAACUGGACCUCUGCAAACUUUUCAGGAAAGACCAGUAUGCUGUAGCUGCCACCUUGUGCUUGCAAUUCUAAUAGUUAUUAACAUUAUUUCUGUAAUUUUGAAAACACUCCCAAGGAGGUCAGCAUUAUACCAGAAGAGGUAUGCUUUCAUUGCUCAUGCACAAACCAUAGCUAGCCGCAUUACCAUGCUAGUUCGUAUUCCUAAUACACUCAGCAUUCCUCAUGCUGACCUCAUCCCUUUUAUUUUUCUUAUCUGUUUUUCCCUUGUUGGCAUUAGGCCCUUCACCACCUUUCUGAUCCUUGUUUUUGUUUGCUCUGUCUGAGACAAAGAUAAUUGGCUAGAGAGAGGAGAAAAAUUAGAGAGAGAGAGAGAGAGAGAGAGAGGAAAAUAAAUGAGUUGAAGUGACCAACAGGGUAGCAUAUUAGCAACAUGAAUUCUACACAUUUGCUCAUCCUUUUACACCAUAGGUCAUCUCUCACAUGUACAUGUGCACAAAGCAAAGAAUAUUGUAGUAAGCUGUGAGAAGGCCAACCAAGGAUUGGAUUCUAAUCACUAAACUAGGCUGUCCCUGCAAAUUCAUGUAUGAGAACACAGAUAAGCUAUUCAUUUUAGUAGCUGUUUGUUUGUUUGUUUGUUUAAAGUACAAAGCAAGCUUGUAAAGCUCUGAUAUUACAACUAUUCGUAAGUAUAAAUGGCAGCAAUGCUAUAAUACCAAUAAAAGCUGGAAAUAGGCAGUAGAAACGAAAAAGCACCCUUUGUGUGGCUUCAGAAAGAAAACAAAUGACUUCAUACCCUUUAUACAUAAUGUACUCACAGAAAUGUGUCCUGCUUGAAUCUUGUUUUCAACUUCCCUGUGGUGAGGGGCGGUUGAGGAAAGUGGGGUGGGGAAUAAAAGAAUAAAA